rnacentral:rRNA from 1 species
AUGGAAGCUUGCUUCUAUCAAUCUUAGUGGCGAACGGGUGAGUAACGCGUAAUCAACCUGCCCUUCAGAGGGGGACAACAGUUGGAAACGACUGCUAAUACCGCAUACGAUCUAAUCUCGGCAUCGAGGAUGGAUGAAAGGUGGCCUCUAUUUAUAAGCUAUCACUGAAGGAGGGGAUUGCGUCUGAUUAGCUAGUUGGAGGGGUAACGGCCCACCAAGGCGAUGAUCAGUAGCCGGUCUGAGAGGAUGAACGGCCACACUGGGACUGAGAGGUUAAGGAGGGCUUCCCAUAGGAAGUGGCAACCAAUCGGCUAGCGGCUGUGAUUAAUUACUCUUUAGGUUCUUAGCUCUAAGCAAAGUGCCUUGGUGUUCAAUGAAUGAAUGAAGGAGUGGAUGCCUGUAAAAGUGUCUUACAAACUGGAGUGUGCAGUGCAAAUGGUAAGCGCUGGUAUUAUGGAUUGUGGAGGGUAGAGCAGGGGCACCGUAAACAGGGUUCAUUUCCCGAGUUUACCCG